rnacentral:rRNA from 1 species
AUUGAACGCUGGCGGCAGGCCUAACACAUGCAAGUCGGACGGCAGCACAGAGAGCUUGCUCUUGGGUGACGAGUGGCGGACGGGUGAGUAAUGUCUGGGGAUCUGCCCGAUAGAGGGGGAUAACCACUGGAAACGGUGGCUAAUACCGCAUAACGUCGCAAGAUCAAAGAGGGGGACCUUCGGGCCUCUCACUAUCGGAUGAACCCAGAUGGGAUUAGCUAGUAGGCGGGGUAAUGGCCCACCUAGGCGACGAUCCCUAGCUGGUCUGAGAGGAUUAACAGCCACACUGGAAGUGAGUCUAGGUCCAGACUCCUACGGGGGGCAGGAGUUGGUAAUAUUGCACAAUGGGCGCAAGCCGGAUGGAGUCAUGCCGCGUGUAUGAAGAAGGCCUUCGGGUUGUAAAGUACUUUCGGCGGGGAGGAAAGCGGUGCGGUUAAUAACCGUACCGAUUGACGUUACCCGCAGAAGAAGCACCGGCUAACUCCGUACCAGCCGCCGCCGUAA